rnacentral:piRNA from 1 species
AAAGCGUUUGGCGCGAUGGUGAGG